rnacentral:rRNA from 1 species
UGGGGAAUAUUGCACAAUGGGCGCAAGCCUGAUGCAGCCAUGCCGCGUGUGUGAAGAAGGCCUUCGGGUUGUAAAGCACUUUCAGCGAGGAGGAAGGCGGUGAACUUAAUACGUUCAUCAAUUGACGUUACUCGCAGAAGAAGCACCGGCUAACUCCGUGCCAGCAGCCGCGGUAAUACGGAGGGUGCAAGCGUUAAUCGGAAUUACUGGGCGUAAAGCGCACGCAGGCGGUUUGUUAAGUCAGAUGUGAAAUCCCCGGGCUCAACCUGGGAACUGCAUUUGAAACUGGCAAGCUAGAGUCUCGUAGAGGGGGGUAGAAUUCCAGGUGUAGCGGUGAAAUGCGUAGAGAUCUGGAGGAAUACCGGUGGCGAAGGCGGCCCCCCUGGACGAAGACUGACGCUCAGGCUGCGAAAGCGUGGGGCAGCAAACAGGAUUAGAUACCCUGGUAGUCCA